AUUGCAUAAGAUGGGAAGUCUGAAAUAGUCCACAAAAGUGCCGCUUUCAUUAAGAAAUUUUGUUUUUUAAAUGCAUCGUAUGUCUCGAUCCCGUCAUUCAAUAAAAUUUUAAAUUCAUCAAUCAAAGUGGAUAGAUAAAUGUCAAUUUCUUUCUUUGGAUUGUGAGGACCGGAGAUCAAAAUAGUCAAGAACAUGAAUGGUUGUGUGUUGCAUAUCCACGGUGGAAGGUUGUAUGGGGUAACGAUAACUGAUCAACAUUAUACGGCACGCUCGAAUGACCAAAUGGAUUAAAUCCAUCAGUGGACAAUCUAAGUCUCACAUUUCGAAUAUCUGCGGCAAAACUUUCAUGAGUACGAUCAAAAUAUUUCCAAGCUUUAUCAUCGGCUGGAUGUCUAACUUCAUUAUCGAUAUCUUUCCGACAUUGACUGUGCCAAAUCAUUUACUUUACAGUAUUUGAACAGUAGUAUAACUAUUGUAGUCAGGGUAUCAAAGGAAAGUAUCUCAAAAUUUUAAAUGGUAUUUUCUGACCAGUAGAAAUUAUUGUCUUGUGCCUAGGAUGCCUAAAUAUCGGAC
rnacentral:lncRNA from 1 species